AGAGAGAGAGAGAGAGAGAGAGAGAGAGAGAGAGAGAGAGAGAGAGAGAGUAAUGAAGCCUAUUCAAUUUUCUUUGCUGGAAGGAAUUUGAUGGAAGCUAAGAAUUAAAGAUAAAGGAAGAUCUUGAAGGCUAAUAGGUUCAGGGCAUAACCAAGCUUAGAGGCGCCUGGAACCAGUUUUUGACAGCCAACCUAUGUGCC